rnacentral:lncRNA from 1 species
CUUUCCGGUGAGGGAACCUCUCUCCAGACAUGAUCAAGAGAAACUGGCGAGGGACUGACAUGAUCUAGCUUACCUUGGGUCACCGAACGGAUUUGGCAUGUGACAUAAUUAUCCCAGCGAUCACUAAAACUGUAAAUUUGGAUGCAAUUAAGAGAGAAAACUCCACACAUUUAUGGAAAUUUAAGAUAUUGAAUAUGUAGUAUAUGCCAGACAAGAUGAUAAUAAAAACUAAAAGCAUCUGGAUGUUGAAUUCUCAGCUCCUUCUCCAGGACCAUGUCUGCCUGGAUGCUGCCAUGCCAUGCUUCCUGCCAUGAGAAUAAUAGACUCAACCUCUGAAACUAUUUGCAGCUUGCUGGCUUGCUGAGUGGAAAAUGAUUCUUUCCCAGUUCUCCUUGGUUUCUUCCUUUCAUGAAUUGAUUAACACUGAGAGAUUAUGUUUUAAUUAUGUCGACUAGAGGUUUUAAAUGAUUCUAGGUUUCUGUGUCCAUUUGUUUUCCUAGGUUUGGGGAAUUUGCUACUGCAAUAUCGUUGUAUAGAUAUUCUUUGCUUUAGUGAGAAACUCAGCUCCUUCUACUCUGUGGUUCUUAGCUUUAGUCUAUUGUACACAUCACAGAGUUAAUGAAAGCUGUGGUCAUACUUGAUUUUUUCUUCAUUACUAUUGAAAUAAAGCAUAUCCUUGACCUUGUCUCCAAUCUCUAUUUUCAAGUCUGUUGGGGAUACAUUCCACUAUUGUUUGAUUGAAAUAUCCAUUUCCAACAUUUCUAUUACUUUGCUUCUUUUUUUUUUGUCCCCACCAAAAAUAAAUAUUUAUAGAAUUGUAAAUCAAAAUGAAACAUUUUUCUGUAUGUAUAAAAACAAAAGGAAACAAACAAAUAAAAAAAUCUGCAUAUUGA